rnacentral:rRNA from 1 species
ACUCAAAUGAAUAGACGGGGACCUGCACAAGUGGAGGAGCGUGUGGUUUAAUUCGACAGCAAGCGAAGAACCUUACCGAGGCUUGACAUCUCCGGAAUUCCCUGGAAACAGGGAAGUGCCGAAAGGAGCCGGAUGACAGGUGCUGCACGGUUGUCGUCAGCUCGUGCUGUGAAGUGUCCCGUUCAGUCGGUUAACGAGCGCAACCCCUAUCCUGUGUUGAAUUUUUCACAGGAAACUGCCCUAGUUAAUAGGGAGGAAGGUGGGGAUGACGUCAAAUCAGCGUGGCUCUUACGCCUCGGGCUACACACGCGCUACAAUGGGGAGUAACAAUGGGUUGCCAAGUCGCAAGACGGAGCUAAUCCCAACAAACCUCCCCCCAGUUCGGAUUGAGGGCUGCAACUCGCCCCCAUGAAGUCGGAUUCACUAGUAACGGCCGGUCAGCCAUACGGCCGUGAAUACGUUCUCAGGUCUUGUACACACCGCCCGU